rnacentral:rRNA from 1 species
AAGGAAUGAUGGGAAUCUAAACCCUUCCCAGAGUAUCAAUUGGAGGGCAAGUCUGGUGCCAGCAGCCGCGGUAAUUCCAGCUCCAAUAGCGUAUAUUAAAGUUGUUGCAGUUAAGAAGCUCGUAGUUGAAUUUCUGCCUUGUCGUUAAAUUCGCUUCCGAGCGUUUUUUUAUUGACUUGGCAUCUUCUGGAUUUGGUUCCCUUCGGGGUUCUAUUUUCCGGGAUUUACUUUGAGAAAACUAGAGUGUUUCAAACAGGCAUUUGCCUUGAAUACUACAGUUUGGUUCUAUUUUGUUGGUUAUUGAGCCAGAGUAAUGGUUAAUAGGAGCAGUUGGGGGCAUUCGUAUUUAACUGUCAGAGGUGAAAUUCUUAGAUUUGUUAAAGACGAACUACUGCGAAAGCAUUUGCCAAGGAUGUUUUCAUUAAUCAAGAACGAAAGUUAGGGGAUCGAAGACGAUCAGAUACCGUCGUAGUCCUACC